GAUGAACGCUGGCGGCGUGCUUAACACAUGCAAGUCGAACGGUGAAAGCGGAGCUUGCUCUGCUGGAUCAGUGGCGAACGGGUGAGUAACACGUGAGCAAUCUGCCCCUGACUCUGGGAUAAGCGCUGGAAACGGCGUCUAAUACUGGAUACGAGCUGCGAAGGCAUCUUCAGCAGCUGGAAAGAAUUUCGGUCAGGGAUGAGCUCGCGGCCUAUCAGCUUGUUGGUGAGGUAAUGGCUCACCAAGGCGUCGACGGGUAGCCGGCCUGAGAGGGUGACCGGUCACACUGGGACUGAGACACGGCCCAGACUCCUACGGGAGGCAGCAGUGGGGAAUAUUGCACAAUGGGCGAAAGCCUGAUGCAGCAACGCCGCGUGAGGGACGACGGCCUUCGGGUUGUAAACCUCUUUUAGCAGGGAAGAAGCGAAAGUGACGGUACCUGCAGAAAAAGCGCCGGCUAACUACGUG
rnacentral:rRNA from 1 species